GACGAACGCUGGCGGCGUGCUUAACACAUGCAAGUCGAACGGAAAGGCCCUGCUUUUGUGGGGUGCUCGAGUGGCGAACGGGUGAGUAACACGUGAGUAACCUGCCCUUGACUUUGGGAUAACUUCAGGAAACUGGGGCUAAUACCGGAUAGGAGCUCCUGCUGCAUGGUGGGGGUUGGAAAGUUUCGGCGGUUGGGGAUGGACUCGCGGCUUAUCAGCUUGUUGGUGGGGUAGUGGCUUACCAAGGCUUUGACGGGUAGCCGGCCUGAGAGGGUGACCGGGCAAAAUGGGAAUGAGGUAACGCCCAGACUCCUACGGGAGGGAAGAGGUGGGAAUUUUGCAAAAUGGGCCGAAGCCUUAUGCAGGCACGCCGGGGUCGGGAUGACGGCCUUUGGGUUGGAAACCCGUUUCGGCCUUUACGAAGGGGUAGGUACGGUAAAUGGGAAAGAAGCAACGGCUUACUAAGUG
rnacentral:rRNA from 1 species